rnacentral:rRNA from 2 species
UACGUAGGGUGCGAGCGUUAAUCGGAAUUACUGGGCGUAAAGAGUGCGUAGGCGGUUGCUGAAGUCCGCUGUGAAAGCCCCGGGCUCAACCUGGGAAUGGCAGUGGAAACUAGGCGACUUGAAUCUGGCAGAGGGGGGUGGAAUGCCGCGUGUAGCAGUGAAAUGCGUAGAGAUGCGGCGGAACACCGAUGGCGAAGGCAGCCCCCUGGGCUGAGAUUGACGCUCAGGCACGAAAGCGUGGGGAGCAAACAGG